AACACCCAGCACAGGGAACAAAACUCCAACUCCAGCCUCCAGAGUCCUUCAUCACAAUUUUCUCUCUAAUACCAACAUUUCAUGGCUGGCUGUGCACAUGGCAACUCCAUGGGCUCCUGUGGAGCUGGUUCCUCAUUGCGAGAAUGUUACAAUUUUUCAAGAUCUGGGGACAGAUAUCACGAGGCUCAAGGGAACUAGUGAGAAACAGAGAAGCAGAACAAAUAAAACAGCCAUCAGAGACCUACACUAAAGCAAUAUUUCAGAAAAGUACAGAGGU